rnacentral:rRNA from 1 species
AGUGAACGCUGGCGGUAGGCCUAACGCAUGCAAGUCGAACGGCAGCACAGUAAGAGCUUGCUCUUACGGGUGGCGAGUGGCGGACGGGUGAGGAAUACAUCGGAAUCUACUUUUUCGUGGGGAUAACGUAGGGAAACUUACGCUAAUACCGCAUACGACCUACGGGUGAAAGCAGGGGAUCUUCGGACCUUGCGCGAUUGAAUGAGCCGAUGUCGGAUUAGCUAGUUGGCGGGGUAAAGGCCCACCAAGGCGACGAUCCGUAGCUGGUCUGAGAGGAUGAUCAGCCACACUGGAACUGAGACACGGUCCAGACUCCUACGGGAGGCAGCAGUGGGGAAUAUUGGACAAUGGGCGCAAGCCUGAUCCAGCCAUACCGCGUGGGUGAAGAAGGCCUUCGGGUUGUAAAGCCCUUUUGUUGGGAAAGAAAAGCAGCAGGUUAAUACCCCGCUGUUCUGACGGUACCCAAAGAAUAAGCACCGGCUAACUUCGUG